rnacentral:rRNA from 1 species
UGGGGAAUAUUGCACAAUGGGCGCAAGCCUGAUGCAGCCAUGCCGCGUGUAUGAAGAAGGCCUUCGGGUUGUAAAGUACUUUCAGCGAGGAGGAAGGCGUUGUGGUUAAUAACCGCAGCGAUUGACGUUACUCGCAGAAGAAGCACCGGCUAACUCCGUGCCAGCAGCCGCGGUAAUACGGAGGGUGCACGCGCUAAUCGGAAUUACUGGGCGUAAAGCGCACGCAGGCGGUCUGUCAAGUCGGAUGUGAAAUCCCCGGGCUCAACCUGGGAACUGCAUCCGAAACUGGCAGGCUAGAGUCUUGUAGAGGGGGGUAGAAUUCCAGGUGUAGCGGUGAAAUGCGUAGAGAUCUGGAGGAAUACCGGUGGCGAAGGCGGCCCCCUGGACAAAGACUGACGCUCAGGUGCGAAAGCGUGGGGAGCAAACA